rnacentral:rRNA from 1 species
UACGGGGGGGGGCAAGCGUUUGUUCGGAAUUACUGGGCGUAAAGGGCUCGUAGGUUGCCAACUAAGUCAGACGUGAAAUCCCUCGGCUUAACCGGGGAACUGCGUCUGAUACUGGAUGGCUUGAGUUCGGGAGAGGGAUGCGGAAUUCCAGGUGUAGCGGUGAAAUGCGUAGAUAUCUGGAGGAACACCGGUGGCGAAGGCGGCAUCCUGGACCGACACUGACACUGAGGAGCGAAAGCCAGGGGAGCAAACGGG